AUUGAACGCUGGCGGCAUGCUUUACACAUGCAAGUCGAACGGUAACAGGCCGCAAGGUGCUGCCGAGUGGCGAACGGGUGGGUAAUGCAUCGGAACGUGCCCAGUCGUGGGGGGUAACUACUCGUAAGAGUAGCUAAUACCGCCUACGAUCUAUGGAUGAACGCGGGGGACCGUAAGCCCUCGCGCGAUUGGAUCGGACGAUGUCAGAUUAGGUAGUUGGUGGGGUAAAGGUUCACCAAGCCAACGAUCUGCAGCUGGUCCGAGAGGACGGCUAGCCACACUGUGAGAGAGAAUGGGCAGCGACUCUGAGAGGGAGACGCAGCGGGGAAUCCUGCACGAGGGAGGCAAGCCUAAUACAGCAAUGCGGCGUGCAGGAAGAAGGCCUUAUGGUUGGAAACUGCUGUUGGCCGGAGCGAAGCAGAUCUGUUUAACACCCGAGGCUAAUGACGGUACCGGAAGAAUAAGCACCGGCUAACUACGUG
rnacentral:rRNA from 1 species